UGUGGUGCUGAGGAUGGAACCCAGCGUCCCACACAUGCCAGAAUAUCUCCUCUUGCUGGUGAGUGCCCAAGGAGCUGGCAUUGCUUAUAAGACAAGCACAAUAAGGGAACUUAAACAUCCACUGCAAAGGAAACUUAAGCAUCCACAUCUCUGCAACCCAGGAUGUUCUGAGGAAGUCCUUCCCGAGGUUCUGUUGAAGGAGUAAACAGGACCAACAUGCCUGCUUGGAAAAGCAUACUCAUUAGGUAUAUUCUUUUCCAGCUGUCAGCUCUCUACAGUGGAGGGUUCAAUCUAAAGCAUCAAAUCCUUGAUGAGCUUAUGGUAGAAUUAAGGACUAUCUUCAGAUAGGCAGAGUAAGGUUAAAGGUGGCUGCUAAGCAAGAUAAGAAUCCCAUGCUAUAUCCAUAGAGAAUAAUAAGAAGGUGAUGCAAAAGCUCAGUCACCUAAGAGAAGUGUUACUCCAGACCCUGUUCUGGAAGGAUUGAAAAGAAAGCUCCAUGGUAAAUCUUUAGGAAGAAGUAACAGUAGGCAAGGGAGAGUCCAGGUUUGCUUGGGGAAGUGGAAGCAGGAAAGGCAGUCUCUUAAGAAGUAAGGCUAUCCAGUUAGGCUAAUGCAUUUCUAGAGGUAAACUGCUCAGCAGGCAGUCAAGAAAAACUCAGAGACAUUCACUUUGAAAUGCAAAAUUGUGGAGCAUGGGUAGCCAGCCAUAACUGGACUCUGGUUCCUGACUACUCUUAAUGAAAAGACUCAAGAAAUAUCACUUCAUAAUAAAAAUCCACACUGCAAAUCUUUCUUUGGGAAGAAUCUUGAAUUACUUGACCGCAAAGACCCCAUUCAACGCAAAGAUUAUGGUUUUUAAGGUAUCAAAUAUUGACAGACAAAUAACAUGUACUCAAUAAAUUUUUGCCCAAAUGAA